UACGUAGGGGGCAAGCGUUGUCCGGAUUUAUUGGGCGUAAAGCGCUCGCAGGUGGUUCAUUGCGUCGUGUGUGAAAGUCCCCGGCUCAACUGGGGAGGGUCGUGCGAAACGGGUGAACUAGAGGCCAGUAGGGGGAUGCGGAAUUCCGGGUGUAGUGGUGGAAUGCGUAGAGAUCCGGAGGAACACCAGCGGCGAAGGCGGCAUCCUGGACUGGUCCUGACACUCAGGAGCGAAAGCGUGGGGAGCGAACCGG
rnacentral:rRNA from 1 species